rnacentral:rRNA from 1 species
AGAGCUCGUAGGUGGUUUGUCGCGUUGUUCGUGAAAUCUCACGGCUUAACUGUGAGCGUGCGGGCGAUACGGGCAGACUUGAGUACUGCAGGGGAGACUGGAAUUCCUGGUGUAGCGGUGGAAUGCGCAGAUAUCAGGAGGAACACCGGUGGCGAAGGCGGGUCUCUGGGCAGUAACUGACGCUGAGGAGCGAAAGCGUGGGGAGCGAACAGGAUUAGAUACCCUGGUAGUCCACGCCGUAAACGGUGGGUACUAGGUGUGGGUUUCCUUCCUUGGGAUCCGUGCCGUAGCUAACGCAUUAAGUACCCCGCCUGGGGAGUACGGCCGCAAGGCUAAAACUCAAAGAAAUUGACGGGGGCCCGCACAAGCGGCGGAGCAUGUGGAUUAAUUCGAUGCAACGCGAAGAACCUUACCUGGGUUUGACAUGCACAGGACGCCGGCAGAGAUGUCGGUUCCCUUGUGGCCUGUGUGCAGGUGGUGCAUGGCUGUCGUCAGCUCGUGUCGUGAGAUGUUGGGUUAAGUCCCGCAACGAGCGCAACCCUUGUCUCAUGUUGCCAGCGGGUAAUGCCGGGGACUCGUGAGAGACUGCCGGGGUCAACUCGGAGGAAGGUGGGGAUGACGUCAAGUCAUCAUGCCCCUUAUGUCCAGGGCUUCACACAUGCUACAAUGGCCGGUACAAAGGGCUGCGAUGCCGCGAGGUUAAGCGAAUCCUUUUAAAGCCGGUCUCAGUUCGGAUCGGGGUCUGCAACUCGACCCCGUGAAGUCGGAGUCGCUUAGUAAUCGCAGAUCAGCAACGCUG